rnacentral:rRNA from 1 species
UACGUAGGGGGCGAGCGUUGUCCGGAUUUAUUGGGCGUAAAAGGCUUGUAGGUGGCCACGUCAAGUCGGAUGUGAAAUCUCCCGGCUCAACUGGGAGGGGUCAUUCGAUACUGGCGGGCUCGAGGCCGGUAGGGGGAAGCGGAAUUCCCGGUGUAGUGGUGGAAUGCGUAGAUAUCGGGAGGAACACCAGUGGCGAAGGCGGCUUCCUGGACCGGUUCUGACACUGAGGAGCGAAAGCAUGGGGAGCAAACAGG